CUCUGUGACAUCCUCGACCAACAACUUGAGAGCAAGGUGUCCUACAUCUAGCUCUGGACUUUUUGAGAACUUGUAGCCAAUGGAAGGAGAAUUACCCACCUUGUAACGUUCGUUCUGAACACUUUCCAGGCCGUUCUGGCAUCCGAUGAAUGUGAUUCCUAUGCCCUCUUUCUCUAUGCUGCCAGUGGUCUUCAGUUUUUGUAACUCACCCCAAAGAAUCCUACAGUGUCAAGCUGCAGCUUCCUGCUAAGGUGGGAUUCUGCCAAGGGGAAGCACAUGACGUGAAGAGAAAAGCCGUGUAUUUCAGCCUGACUAACAGUGAGCAGUCGGUGAAGAAUCUCUACCAGAUAUGGAGACUUCGAUGAUUUUAAUCUGGAGGAUGCACUGAAAGAAACUUCCUCAGUAAAGCGUGACUCAAACCAACAAGUCCACCAAGCAAACACAAGUGGUCGGCCAUGCACCACACUGACAAUCUUGCCUUCAGAAAAGUACACGCAUAUGAGACUAGCUGUGCCUCCAUCUACCUGUUUGUUCUGUUGUGCAAGGC
rnacentral:lncRNA from 1 species